UACGUAGGUCCCGAGCGUUGUCCGGAUUUAUUGGGCGUAAAGCGAGCGCAGGUGGUUUAUUAAGUCUGGUGUAAAAGGCAGUGGCUCAACCAUUGUAUGCAUUGGAAACUGGUAGACUUGAGUGCAGGAGAGGAGAGUGGAAUUCCAUGUGUAGCGGUGACAUGCGUAGAUAUAUGGAGGAACACCGGUGGCGAAAGCGGCUCUCUGGCCUGUAACUGACACUGAGGCUCGAAAGCGUGGGGAGCAAACAGG
rnacentral:rRNA from 1 species